rnacentral:rRNA from 1 species
UACACAUGCAAGUCNAACGAUGAAGCCCUUCGGGGUGGAUUAGUGGCGAACGGGUGAGUAACACGUGGGCAAUCUGCCCUUCACUCUGGGACAAGCCCUGGAAACGGGGUCUAAUACCGGAUAACACUCUGUCCCGCAUGGGACGGGGUUAAAAGCUCCGGCGGUGAAGGAUGAGCCCGCGGCCUAUCAGCUUGUUGGUGGGGUAAUGGCCUACCAAGGCGACGACGGGUAGCCGGCCUGAGAGGGCGACCGGCCACACUGGGACUGAGACACGGCCCAGACUCCUACGGGAGGCAGCAGUGGGGAAUAUUGCACAAUGGGCGAAAGCCUGAUGCAGCGACGCCGCGUGAGGGAUGACGGCCUUCGGGUUGUAAACCUCUUUCAGCAGGGAAGAAGCGAAAGUGACGGUACCUGCAGAAGAAGCGCCGGCUAACUACGUGCCAGCAGCCGCGGUAAUACGUAGGGCGCAAGCGUUGUCCGGAAUUAUUGGGCGUAAAGAGCUCGUAGGCGGCUUGUCACGUCGGAUGUGAAAGCCCGGGGCUUAACCCCGGGUCUGCAUUCGAUACGGGCUAGCUAGAGUGUGGUAGGGGAGAUCGNAUUNCUGGUGUAGCGGUGAAAUGCGCANAUAUCAGGAGGAACACCGGUGGCGAAGCGGAUCUCUGGGCCNUNCUGACGCUGAGNANCAAAGCGUGGGGAGCGAACAGGAUNNAUACCCUGGUAGUCCCGCCGUAA